rnacentral:tRNA from 1 species
GGAUGCUUAGCUCAGCUGGUAGAGCAUCGCCCUUACAAGGCGAGGGUCGGGGGUUCGAACCCCUCAGCAUCCACCA